rnacentral:misc_RNA from 1 species
GAUGAAGAACGCAGCGAAAUGCGAUACGUAAUGUGAAUUGCAGAAUUCAGUGAAUCAUCGAAUCUUUGAACGCAUAUUGCGCUCUCUGGUAUUCCGGAGAGCAUGCUUGUUUGAGUAUCAGUAAACACCUCAACUUCCAUAUCUUUUUUGAAAUGGGAGUUGGACUUGAGUGAUCCCAACGCUUUUCCUCACCGAAAAGUGGCGGGUUACUUGAAAUGCAGGUGCAGCUGGACUUUUCUCUGAGCUAUAAGCAUUUCUAUUUAGUCUGCCUAAAAAACAGAUUAUUACCUUUGCUGCAGCUAACAUAAAGGAGAUUAGUUCUUGUGCUGACUGAUGCAGGAUUCACAAAGACAGGCUUCGGCCGACUUUGUAAACUCGAUCUCAAAUCAAGUAAGACUACCCGCUGAACUUAAGCAUAUCAAUAAGCGGAGGA